rnacentral:rRNA from 1 species
UGGGGAAUAUUGCGGCAAUGGGCGAAAGCCUGACGCAGCGACGCCGCGUGAGGGAUGAAGGUCUUCGGAUCGUAAACCUCUGUCAGAAGGGAAGAAUAAGCACUGUGCUAAUCAGCAGUGCCCUGACGGUACCUUCAAAGGAAGCACCGGCUAACUCCGUGCCAGCAGCCGCGGUAAUACGGAGGGUGCAAGCGUUAAUCGGAAUUACUGGGCGUAAAGCGCGUGUAGGCUGUAUGGCAAGUUGGAGGUGAAAUCCCACGGCUCAACCGUGGAACUGCCUUACAAAACUACCAAACUGGAGU